CGUGACAUAAGGGCCUAAUAGGCCAACAUGAUUAUUUAUAAACUCAAAAUAUAGGCCGACAAGGCCGUACAAUCUUUCACAUACAAGACAUAUGUUUGCAAGCCUUUAAGAUUACAUAACUAUCAUAAAGGUCGGGACAGAGUCUCGCCAUACCAAACAAUACACGUCUAAAUUAUACCAGCCAAACAAGCAACUCCGAAGGAAAUGGAGCACACCAUCAUCUUCCGCUGAGCUGAUAGCCUACUUGGAGGGCUCUCGACCUAUCUAUUGGGACCUGUAGGCAUGAAAAGCAGCGUCCCCAGGCAAAAGGGACGUCAGUACGAAAAAAGUUCCGAGUAUAUAAGGCAUAUAAAUAAGUACAUAACAGACAUGAGAGAAAUAUAGAGUACUUGACUCAACCUGUAAGUCUGAAUAACUCUGUAAAUCAUGAAAUACUUUUAGCAUCAUCCAUAUGCGUAUGAAUGUCAUUUCAUGCAUAGGUACACGUCUCAUAACAUCAUCAGCCUCUAAGAGCAUCCCAUCAUAUCAUAUCAGCCAUUGUGGGCAAAAUUAUCAACGUAAACCAGCUGAUCAGGUGGUGGUGCGUAUAUAAUGCUAUAACCUUUCCCAUAUCCCAUAUACAUAUAUAUACAUACAUAUAUACGCAUAUAUAAUGCCAUCUAGUCCUGGGUCAAUAUACAUGAAUGCAAUGCACGAAAAGUACGUUAAUAAAAUCUUUCGGAAUGUCAUAAGACCAUUUUGCCUUUGAGUAAUAUCAUAAAGUAAACUAUUUUCAACUUUCAUAUUUUUCUGAGACCCAUGAACAGAUGAUAAGAUAUUAUGACACAUGGAAGUUCAAGAAUAUAAAUAUCUCUAAUACUUCUAUAUAUAGAGUCAUUCAUGGAAUUUGGGCAUUUGAACAUUUCGUUUGUAUCGUAUGGAUCAUGCGAAAAGAAAGAAGGGAUAACUUUAACAUACCUGGAAUAGGAAAAACUCCGUAUAAUAUUCCAUUGGAAACCUUCGUGGAUUGAAAUUAGAACCCAAAAUUCGGAUUAAACUUCUGUGCUUUGAAAUUUGAAUGAAAUUGCUUCUGAUGAAGCUUUUGUUUUGAAUCAAAAUGCUUCUGCUUCAACAUUUUCCUUAUAGAAAAAAUAGUUUCCAACCCUUCAAAGUAAGAAUGGAAUCCUUUUGCUUUAUUUAAAAUUUUCUAGCUAAAUCUUGCUAUGGAUUGAAAUUUUUGGACAAAAAAUGAUUCUGCUUCUUAACGUUCUUUGGUCUUAAAGCAAAAUAGAAUGCGGUUUUGGUUUAAU
rnacentral:lncRNA from 1 species